CCCUUGUGAACAUACCUAACGUUGCUUCGGCGGUGCGGCCCUAGGCCGCUGCCUCCUCGUGAGGCGCCCGCCGGAGGUUUACAAACUCUAUGUAUUAUAUUGUUUUCUCUGAGUUGUCUUUUAAAUAAGUCAAAACUUUCAACAACGGAUCUCUUGGUUCUGGCAUCGAUGAAGAACGCAGCGAAAUGCGAUAAGUAAUGUGAAUUGCAGAAUUCAGUGAAUCAUCGAAUCUUUGAACGCACAUUGCGCCCGCUAGUAUUCUAGCGGGCAUGCCUGUUCGAGCGUCAUUUCAACCCUCAAGCACUGCUUGGUGUUGGGGCCCUACAGCUUCUGUAGGCCCUGAAAACUAGUGGCGGGCUCGCUAUAACUCCGAGCGUAGUAGUAAUAUCUCGCUUAGGACGUGAUGGCGGGAUCCGGCCGUUAAACCCCCCAAUUUUCUGAAUGUUGACCUCGGAUCAGGUAGGAAUACCCGCUGAACUUAAGCAUAUCAAUAA
rnacentral:sRNA from 1 species